GAUGAAGAACGUAGCGAAAUGCGAUACGUAAUGUGAAUUGCAGAAUUCAGUGAAUCAUCGAGUCUUUGAACGCACAUUGCGCCCCCUGGUAUUCCGGGGGGCAUGCCUGUCCGAGCGUCAUUGCUGCCCUCAAGCACGGCUUGUGUGUUGGGCCCCCGCCCCCCGGUUCCCGGGGGGCGGGCCCGAAAGGCAGCGGCGGCACCGCGUCCGGUCCUCGAGCGUAUGGGGCUUCGUCACCCGCUCUUGUAGGCCCGGCCGGCGCUUGCCGACACAUCAAUCUUUUUUCCAGGUUGACCUCGGAUCAGGUAGGGAUACCCGCUGAACUUAAGCAUAUCAAUAAGCGGAGGA
rnacentral:misc_RNA from 1 species